ensembl:lncRNA
AUGAGAAAGCCGUCGUCACAAGCUGUGUCUUCUGUGAGAAGGCAGGACACAGUCUACAAAGGUGUUACAAGUUUAUGCAAGGGACAAUCUUGGAGCGAAUCAAGUUUGUUCAAGAAAAUAAAUUGUGUUUUGGCUGUCUCAAAUUUGGCCACCGAUCUAGAGAUUGUAGAGAAAGAGACAGCUGCGACACCUGUGAGAGAAGACACCCAACUUGUCUUCAUGACGAUCGCACCAAGGAAGAAAGGAUGUCUACAAGAUCUGAGAGCAAGGUACAGUGACAAAGACAAAGAAGAGUACAAAGAAAGGAAGAAUGAACAGUCACAAGACCAGUCAGAGAGACCAUCACGUGAGGCGACGGCACUUAGAGUCAUCCAGAAUGUUGGAGACACGCAUACCUCCACAAUAAUUCCAGUGUGGGUGUCAUCCACAAGUGUACCAAGUCGUGAAGUUCUGGUGUACGCACUCCUUGAUACACAAAGUGACACAACCUUUAUCCUCGACGAGACAGCGAAGGCUCUCAAUGCUAGGAGUGAACCAGUUCAGCUAAACCUCUCCACGUUGGCUUCAAGAAACACAAUCGUGUCCUGUCGGAAGCUAGCUGGUCUACAAGUUAGAGGUUUUUAUUCAGACAAGAUAAUCACUCUUCCAGUGACUUACUCAAGAGAGUUUAUCCCUGCAAACAGAGACCAUAUUCCCACACCAGAUACGGCGAAAGCAUGGCCUCAUCUUGAACACAUUGCAGAUGAGAUCGCUCCUCAGCAAAGCUGUGAUGUCGGCCUGUUAAUUGGCUACAACUGUGCCCAAGCCCUCGUUCCAAGACAAGUGGUGCCUGGUGAGGAACACCAGCCGUUUGCACAAAAGACAGACUUGGGCUGGAGUGUAGUGGGAUAUGGCAACCCGUGUCUCAACUAUGGAGAUGCAAUUGGAAUAAGUCACCAAGUCAUGGUGAAGCAAGUGAUGCCAGGUCUACCGUCCUCUUCAGACCUCACAAAGGAAGUGCACUAUGUCUGUAGGACACAGAUCAAAGAAGUUCUCUUACCUGCAGAUGUCAUCAAGAUGCUGGAGUCUGACUUCGUUGAAAGAGAGUCGGAAACCAGCCCCAUCUCUCAAGAAGAUCUAAGGUUCCUGUCAAAAAUGGAAAAGAGCAUCAAGUUAAAGAGCGACGGUCAUUACGAAAUGCCGCUGCCAUUCAAGAAAGAAAGACCUAACUUACCUGAUAAUAAGAUCUGUGCUAUCCAUCGUCUCAGGUGCCUAGAAAGAAGGCUGAGAAGAAACGACCAGUACUACAAAGACUACAAGACCUUCAUGGAUGAGACCAUAAGACGCGGAGAUGCAGAAAGGGUCCCGGAGGAAGACAUCCACAAAGCUCCAGCUUGGUACAUUCCGCAUCAUGGGGUGUAUCAUCCACAAAAGCCUGGGAAGAUACGCGUUGUCUUCGAUUGCUCCGCCAAGUACCAAGGAACGUCCUUGAACGACCACCUCCUGACGGGUCCUGAGUUGACAAACACCUUGGUGGGAGUUCUGUAUCGCUUCCGAAGAGGUCCUGUGGCAAUCAUGUGUGACAUCGAACGCAUGUUUCACCAGUUCCAUGUUAAGGCAGAAGACCAAGAUUACCUGCGGUUCCUUUGGUGGGACAAUGGAGAUCUCGAAAGCCAACCUUCCAUCUAUCGGAUGAAAGUCCACUUGUUUGGUGCAGCAUCGUCACCUGGCUGUGCCAACUAUGGGCUGAAGCAUGUCGCUGCUGAAGGACAAGGAAACUUUAGUGACGACACCAUAAAGUUCAUUCAACGGAACUUCUACGUGGAUGAUGGAUUGUCAAGUGUAGCAUCCGAAGACCAAGCGAUCCAACUGGUGAAAGAAGCAAGAGAACUUUGCAGCACAGGCAAACUCCGGCUGCAUACGUUUAUCUCUAACAGCAAGAAGGUCCUAGACGCAAUCCCAAAAGAAGAAUGUGCUGCAGCUGCCAAAGACAAGGACAUGGCACUGGGUGAACUGCACAUGGAAAGAGCACUCGGUGUGCAGUGGUGCGUGGCUUCUGAUGAGUUCCAGUUCAGAGUAAUCGUCAAGGAGAAUCCACUUACUCGAAGAGGAGUCCUGUCCACAGUCGCUUCAGUCUACGACCCUCUUGGAUUUGUGGCACCGUUCAUCUUGUUGGGAAAGCAGAUCCUGCAGCAGAUGUGUUGUGACAAGCUCAGUUGGGAUGACACCUUACCUGAUGACCUACGACCUCUGUGGGAAAGCUGGCUUCAAGACCUGCGAAAUCUAGCCGAGGUGAAGAUUCCAAGAUGCUACGUUCCAUCAAGCUUCAAGGUCCAACACUACGAACUCCACCAUUUCGCCGAUGCCAGUGAGUCAGGCUAUGGAGAGUGCUCGUACCUCAGAGCAGUGAGUACGUCAAGUGAAGUCCACUGUUCCUUUGUAAUGGGAAAGUCGAGAGUCGCUCCUACUAAGGUCACAACCAUACCAAGACUCGAGCUGUCAGCAGCAGUGGUAGCUGUCCGCACCAGUGACAUGCUCAAGAAAGAACUGGAAAUAGAAUGCCUACAAGAAGUCUUCUGGACUGAUUCAAGAGUGGUCCUUGGUUACAUCAAUAAUGAAGCCAGAAGAUUUCACGUGUUUGUGGCAAAUCGUGUGGAACGCAUCAAGCAAAGCACAGAGUCUACACAAUGGAAGUAUGUGGCUUCAGAAGAUAAUCCAGCAGACUACGCCUCAAGAGGUCUCACAGCAGAGCAACUGGUAUCCUCUAACUGGUUCACAGGCCCAGACUUUCUUUGGCAGAAGGAGUUACCAAGUGGAGAUGUCAAGGUGGGAGAGAUCACAUAUGACGAUCCUGAGCUUAAGAAGGUCCAGGUUCUCGACACCCAGGCGAAAGAAGUCAAGUCGCUGCUAGAUCGCCUACACAAGUUUUCAGACUGGUCCAAAAUGGUGAAAGCUAUCGCCAGACUCCAGCGCCAUGUGAAAGAAAUUAAAGGGCUUCAGCCAAAGUCCUGUGAAGCCUGCAGUUUGGAGGAAAGGAGAGAAGCGGAGUUGACAAUAAUCAAGAUGGUUCAAGAAGCAACCUUCUCACAAGAUAUACAGUUACUCCAAAGUGACAAGGAGACGCCAGUCAAGGGCAAAGCCAAUAAGUUGCACCGGUUAAGUCCAUUCCUGGAUGACCAAGGUGUCCUCAGAGUUGGAGGCCGCUUAACUCAUGCUGCCCUACAUCCACAGGUGAAGCAUCCAGCGGUCCUUCCAAAGGACAGUCAUGUGUCAAAUUUACUUGUCAAGCACUAUCAUGAAAGAGUGUACCAUCAAGGACGAGGAAUGACCAUGAAUGCGCUCCGAUCUAAUGGCAUAUGGAUACUGGGCUGCAGCACGGCUGUAUCAUCCCAUAUCUACAAGUGCACUAAGUGCAGGAAGUUCAGAAGAUGCACUGAACAGCAGAAAAUGUCAGACCUUCCAGAGGACAGAAUGGAAACAGCUCCUCCAUUCACCUACUGCGGUAUGGACUGUUUUGGACCAUUCUACGUAAAGGAAGGAAGGAAAGAGCUAAAGCGUUAUGGAUUGUUACUUACCUGCAUGUGUUCCAGAGCGGUUCACGUUGAGAUGCUUGACGAUAUGACCACGGAUGCCUUCAUUAACGCAUUGCGUUCAUUCAUCGCCAUUCGUGGAAAGGUACGUCAGAUAAGAAGUGAUCAAGGAACAAACUUCGUCGGAGCAAGACGAGAGUUUGCUGAAGCAUUGAAAGAAAUGGAUCAGGAAGAGCUCAAGCAGCUUGGAUGUGAGUUCAUCAUGAACACCCCAGCUUCAAGUCAUAUGGGUGGCGUCUGGGAAAGACAAAUUCGCACCAUAAGAAGUGUCUUGACGUCCAUUCUAGAACAGUCAGCUACGCAGCUUGACUGCUCCUCUCUAAGAACGUUCCUGUAUGAAGUCAUGGCAAUAGUGAACAGUAGACCUCUGAGCACUGAUUGUCUAAAUGAUUCAUCCAGUCCAGAGCCCCUGACACCAAACCACAUUUUGACCAUGAAGUCCACGAUACUCGCUCCACCUCCUGGGAAGUUCGUCAAGGAAGAUCUAUACCUACGCAAGAGAUGGCGUCGAGUUCAAUUCUUAUCCAACCACUUUUGGACAAGAUGGAAGAAGGAGUACCUCCUGAGCCUCCAACAGAGACAGAAGUGGACCAAAGAUCGCAGGAAUGCAAAGGUCGGCGAUGUUGUACUCCUGCAAGAUGAUACUACACCACGUAACCAGUGGAGGAUGGCAAAGGUUAUCGAAGUGUACCCAGGAAAGGAUGGGAAGGUGCGAAGACUCAAGUUGCUCAUCAGCGACUCAACCCUUGAUGAGAAGGGAAAGCGUAUCUCCAAACCUGUCCACCUGGAAAGGCCCAUCCAUAAGACGGUGACGCUGAUGGAAGCAGACUGA